CUUAUUACUCUUUGACUUUAGAGUAAAAUCUUCCUAACCAUAACAAAAAGGAAAACAAAACAAAAAAGUAUUUUCCCUCUUGUUAACUUGCCUGGGAUAAAGGGAUACUGAAAACCUAGACCAUAGCACAUUCUACUCUAAUAUUGGCCUUCUGUUCGUUUGUUAAAAGAAAUUAACAGCACUUUGACACAAUUAUUUACUCUGUGGGGGGAUUUUCCCCCCUUUGGCUCUCCAGAAUCCAUAUUACUUCACUCCCAAAGGUUUUAUUCCUAGCUUUUUAUACACUAGGAUGACUAUUUCUAAGUAACAGACUUUUACCAAAGCAAUAAUCUAGCCCAUAAUCUAAAAUGACAUUUCUUUGUAAAUAUUGCAUGGCAUCUGAAAAGAAUAAAAUUCUAUUUAGUAUUCUAAUAAUGCAAAUGUCUAUGCUGAUAUAGCCAUUGCUUUAUAAGGCAGGGGCUGAUAAUCUUGUUUGUGGUUUAUCACAUAUUUUGUUUUGAUCCCUCUGAGGCAUUUUAGUAUUUGUAGGAACUCUGUAAGAGAAGAAAAGCACCAGAAGACUUAGAUCAGUCACUUUUGUUGUUUUCAUACCCCAAAUAGUACAUUUUCAUUGAGAAGAAUGUGGAAAAUAAUGAAUACAUUGUAUUUUGGAUUAUCUGGUUUGUUGUGCCUGUAUGUGCCAUGAACUAUUGAAAUGUAAGUAUACUGUUAUUAAUUGAAUGCAUUUAAAAAACAUAUGCAUUUGGGUUCCAUGUAUCUAGACACUAAUGGCAUUUUCUGUGUCUUUCUAGUAAUUUGCCUAGUGGGAUUAGGCCUGGUGGUCUUCUUCUUCAGUUUUCUACUUUCAAUAUUUCGUUCCAAAUACCACGGCUAUCCUUAUAGCUUUUUAAUUAAAUGAAGCCAAGUGGGAUUUGCAUAAAGUGAAUGUUUUCCGUGAAGAUAAAGUGUUCCUGAGAUAUAGUUUGAAUUCUUGAGUUCAUUUCCAUGUUGAUUGUGAUAAUUCUAGCUUAUUCUUGUAUAAUUUUUGAAAUGUGUUUUCCUAGUGAAUUUAAUUUAUAGAAGUGGAUGAUUAAAUUUCAUAUUAGCAUUGGAAACAACAAAGUAAAUACUGAAGUGUUUUCAAGCAUAUUAUAUUUAGUAUAUGCUAUAGGACUGAAAUAAAUGACAAUGUAAUUAUAAAUUCA
rnacentral:lncRNA from 1 species